GCCUUGGUGGCCAAGUGGUAAGGCGUCGGUCUCGUAAACCGAAGAUCCAGGGUUCAAACCCCUGCCGAGGCA
rnacentral:tRNA from 1 species